GACAGAGGCCUCGAGCGUUAGGCGGAAUCACUGGGCUUAAAGCGUGUGUAGGCGGAUGCCUAAGUACCUUGUGAAAUCCCACGGCUCACCCGUGGAACCGCUGGGUAUACUGGGCAUCUUGGGCCAUUCAGGGGCAACUGGAACAAGCGGUGGAGCGGUGAAAUGCGUAGAUAUCGCUUGGAACGCCGACGGUGAAAACAGGUUGCUGGGAAUGUGCCGACGCUGAGACACGAAAGCCAGGGGAGCAAACGGGG
rnacentral:rRNA from 1 species